rnacentral:rRNA from 1 species
AUGAAGAGCGGAAUAUUUUCAGUGCAAUCUGCCUAUUGCAAGCAAUGGGAAGUGAACUAUGAUACCGAGGAAAGCGGUUUGGCCCGCUAUUCCACGGCGCCCUGCCCAGUUUGGAAGAAUUCGUGGAAUUUGAAAGUACCAGCAAAAGUUAAAAAAAUUAUCUGGAGAUGCUUGCACAACGCCAUUUCAUGUCGGAGUACUCUGAUGAAUCGCCAUGUUGGGACUGUUUCCCAAUGCCCAUUUUGUCCAGAUGGGGUAGAGGACUUAUCUCAUAUGUUGUUCAAGUGUGCAAGAUCACAGGCAAUAUGGGAGGCUCUGGGGAUCGCACCUGAUAUUACUUUCGCUACAAUGACUGAUCGGUCAGGUUGAGCGGUCCUAGAUUUUAUUCUCUGCGAUGGUUCUUAUCGGCGAUGCUACUCUGGAAUGGUUGAAUUGUCGGAGCUUAUAUCGACAUCAUGCUGGUUUUUAUGGUGGCAAAGAAGACAGUUUGUGCGAGGGGAAGAUAUAUUGACACCAGAAAAAACAUCACCUGUUGUGGUUGCCCUAGCACUAAACUAUGUAUGUGGAACCGAAGUUAAAAUCGCACCCAAGAUAAACAAGUGGCCGGCGUUUCUCGCGGGGCAGCUAAUUCUAAAUGUGGACGCAUCAUUCACAGAGUGCGACUAUGCAGGAUCAUGUGGAGCUGUUAUGCGUGAUCACCAGGGGUCCUUCAUAACGGCAUCCACAGCGAGAUUGGAACAUGUAGCUGAUGUGUUUACGGCAGAAGCGACAUCUUUGCUCGAAGGAUUGAGGGAUACAGGAUGCUAUAACUUAGUGGUGAGAUCGGACAAUACCACGAUGGUGGAUGCACUGAACCACAAUUGA